UCUCAUGGUGCUGUAGGUGCAAGC
rnacentral:piRNA from 1 species